rnacentral:tRNA from 1 species
GAUAAAAUGGCUGAAAAUAGGCGUUAGAUUGUAAAUCUAAUUAUGAAAUAAUUUUCUUUUAUCA